GAUGAACGCUAGCGGGAGGCCUAACACAUGCAAGCCGAGCGGUAUUUGUUCUUCGGAACAGAGAGAGCGGCGCACGGGUGCGGAACACGUGUGCAACCUGCCUUUAUCUGGGGGAUAGCCUUUCGAAAGGAAGAUUAAUACCCCAUAAUAUAUUGAGUGGCAUCAUUUGAUAUUGAAAACUCCGGUGGAUAGAGAUGGGCACGCGCAAGAUUAGAUAGUUGGUGAGGUAACGGCUCACCAAGUCAAUGAUCUUUAGGGGGCCUGAGAGGGUGAUCCCCCACACUGGUACUGAGACACGGACCAGACUCCUACGGGAGGCAGCAGUGAGGAAUAUUGGACAAUGGGUUAGCGCCUGAUCCAGCCAGCCCGCGUGAAGGACGACGGCCCUAUGGGUUGUAAACUUCUUUUGUAUAGGGAUAAACCUACUCUCGUGAGAGUAGCUGAAGGUACUAUACGAAUAAGCACCGGCUAACUCCGG
rnacentral:rRNA from 1 species